AUUUAAAUAGUUUAAUAAAAAAUUUUGAUUUGUGGAGUCAAGGAUAUAGUAAUAUUUUAGAUA
rnacentral:tRNA from 1 species